rnacentral:rRNA from 1 species
GAUGAACGCUGGCGGCGUGCCUAAUACAUGCAAGUCGAGCGAACGGACGAGAAGCUUGCUUCUCUGAUGUUAGCGGCGGACGGGUGAGUAACACGUGGAUAACCUACCUAUAAGACUGGGAUAACUUCGGGAAACCGGAGCUAAUACCGGAUAAUAUUUUGAACCGCAUGGUUCAAAAGUGAAAGACGGUCUUGCUGUCACUUAUAGAUGGAUCCGCGCUGCAUUAGCUAGUUGGUAAGGUAACGGCUUACCAAGGCAACGAUGCAUAGCCGACCUGAGAGGGUGAUCGCCCACACUGGAACUGAGACACGUUCCAGACUCCUACGGGAGGCAGCAGUAGGGAAUCUUCCGCAAUGGGCGAAAGCCUGACGGAGCAACGCCGCGUGAGUGCUGAAGGUCUUCGGAUCGUAAAACUCUGUUAUUAGGGAAGAACAUAUGUGUAAGUAACUGUGCACAUCUUGACGGUACCUAAUCAGAAAGCCACGGCUAACUACGUG